CCAACAUGCCUUUCGUAWWAAAUAGGGAAGAAAUUUCCUGCCCRGGACUUAAAAGUUCAACGGCCGCGGUACCCUAACCGUGCAAAGGUAGCAUAAUAACUUGCCCAUUAAUUGUGGGCUAGAAUGAAAGGAUUAACGAAAUAGAUACUGUCUCUAUAAGUAAAAUAAAAAUUAAAAUCUAAUUGAAGAUCAUUAGAUAAAAUCGAAGGACAAGAAGACCCUAUGGAGCUUUAUUUACCAAAAGAUUUAUUAACUUUUACAUAAUUCGGUUGGGGCGACCUGGGAAAUGUAUUAAAUCACCCCAUUUUAAUAGAUAUAUUAAUCUUUUUAAAGACCCUUUAAUAAAGAUCCUAAAAUUAAGUUACCCUAGGGAUAACAGACUUAUUCAAUUAAAGAGUUCUUAUCAAUAAUUGGGUUUGGCACCUCGAUGUUGGCUUAGGGAAUCUCUAUGGCGCAAAAGUCAUAUAAAGAUGGUUUGUUCAACCACUAAUACCCUACAUGAGCUGAGUUCAGACCGGCGCAAGCCAGGUUAGUUUCUAUCCACGACAAAUUUUUAAUCUAUUUACAGUACGAAAGGACCUAAAUAUGAAUAAAAUUUAUAACUUUUAGAAAUCAUAUAAUGAUGAUAGAUUAACAAGUAAAAUAUAUAAACUAUUAAUAAGUUGGCAGAAUAGUGCCACUGACUUAGAAUCAGUUUAUGGAUAAUAUCCACUUAUUAUGUAACUUAGUUUAAUUAGAACACUCAACUUGCACUUGAAAAGUGAGGAAACUCAGUAGCGGUUUGAUGUUUAGGAAACACUGGAUUUUGAACGUCCAUAUAAGAUGUCGCGASUCUUCUGAUCCCUC
rnacentral:rRNA from 1 species